AGUCGACGAUUAAAGCACCUUCGGGUGUGUAUAGAGUGGCGAACGGGUGAGUAACACGUGACCAACCUGCCUCUUACAUUGGGACAACCAAAAGAAAUUCUGGCUAAUACCAAAUACUCCGCACAUAUCACAUGAUGUAUGCGGGAAAGCUUUUGCGGUAAGAGAUGGGGUCGCGGCCCAUUAGGUAGACGGCGGGGUAGAAGCCCACCGUGCCGAUGAUGGGUAGCCGGGUUGAGAGACCGACCGGCCACAUUGGGACUGAGAUACGGCCCAGACUCCUACGGGAGGCAGCAGUGGGGAAUAUUGCGCAAUGGGGGAAACCCUGACGCAGCAACGCCGCGUGCGGGAUGAAGGCCUUCGGGUUGUAAACCGCUUUCAGCAGGGAAGACAUCGACGGUACCUGCAGAAGAAGCCCCGGCUAACUACGUGCCAGCAGCCGCGGUAAUACGUAGGGGGCGAGCGUUAUCCGGAUUCAUUGGGCGUAAAGCGCGCGCAGGCGGUUGCUCAAGCGGAACCUCUAAUCUCGGGGCUUAACCUCGAGCCGGGUUCCGAACUGGACGACUCGAGUGCGGUAGAGGCAGAUGGAAUUCCCGGUGUAGCGGUGGAAUGCGCAGAUAUCGGGAAGAACACCAACGGCGAAGGCAGUCUGCUGGGCCGUCACUGACGCUGAGGCGCGAAAGCUGGGGGAGCGAACAGGAUUAGAUACCCUGGUAGUCCCAGCCGUAAACGAUGAGCGCUGGGUGUGGGAGAUUACAUCUUCCGUGCCGAAGCUAACGCAUUAAGCGCUCCG
rnacentral:rRNA from 1 species